GAGUUUGAUCCUGGCUCAGGACGAACGCUGGCGGCGUGCCUAAUACAUGCAAGUCGAGCGGACUUGAGGGAGCUUGCUCCCGAUAGUCAGCGGCGGACGGGUGAGUAACACGUGGGCAACCUGCCUGUAAGACUGGGAUAACUUCGGGAAACCGGAGCUAAUACCGGAUAAUCCUUUCCCUCACAUGAGGGAAAGCUGAAAGACGGUUUCGGCUGUCACUUACAGAUGGGCCCGCGGCGCAUUAGCUAGUUGGUGAGGUAACGGCUCACCAAGGCGACGAUGCGUAGCCGACCUGAGAGGGUGAUCGGCCACACUGGGACUGAGACACGGCCCAGACUCCUACGGGAGGCAGCAGUAGGGAAUCUUCCGCAAUGGACGAAAGUCUGACGGAGCAACGCCGCGUGAGCGAAGAAGGCCUUCGGGUCGUAAAGCUCUGUUGUUAGGGAAGAACAAGUAUCGGAGUAACUGCCGGUACCUUGACGGUACCUAACCAGAAAGCCACGGCUAACUACGUGCCAGCAGCCGCGGUAAUACGUAGGUGGCAAGCGUUGUCCGGAAUUAUUGGGCGUAAAGCGCGCGCAGGCGGUCUCUUAAGUCUGAUGUGAAAGCCCCCGGCUCAACCGGGGAGGGUCAUUGGAAACUGGGAGACUUGAGUGCAGAAGAGAAGAGCGGAAUUCCACGUGUAGCGGUGAAAUGCGUAGAGAUGUGGAGGAACACCAGUGGCGAAGGCGGCUCUUUGGUCUGUAACUGACGCUGAGGCGCGAAAGCGUGGGGAGCGAACAGGAUUAGAUACCCUGGUAGUCCACGCCGUANACGAUGAGUGCUAAGUGUUAGAGGGUUUCCGCCCUUUA
rnacentral:rRNA from 1 species